AGAGUUUGAUCAUGGCUCAGAACGAACGCUGGCGGCGCGUUUUAAGCAUGCAAGUCGAACGGUAGCAGGGCUUCGGCCUUGUGAGAGUGGCGAACGGGUGAGUAACACGUAGGUGAUCUACCCUUGGAUUGGGGAUAGCCCAUGGAAACAUGGGGUAAUACCGAAUACGACCUUAGGACUAUGGUUCUUAGGGGAAAGGCGCUAAGGCGCCGUCCGGGGAUGAGCCUGCGCUCCAUUAGCUAGUUGGUGAGGUAAGAGCCCACCAAGGCGACGAUGGAUAGCCGGCCUGAGAGGGUGACCGGCCACACUGGAACUGAGACACGGUCCAGACUCCUACGGGAGGCAGCAGCUAAGAAUCUUCCGCAAUGGGGGAAACCCUGACGGAGCGACGCCGCGUGGACGAUGAAGGCCGAAAGGUUGUAAAGUCCUUUUCUUGGAGAAGAAUAAGGGUAGGAGGGAAUGCCUACCUGAUGACAUUAGCCAAGGAAUAAGCCCCGGCUAAUUACGUGCCAGCAGCCGCGGUAAUACGUAAGGGGCGAGCGUUGUUCGGAUUUAUUGGGCGUAAAGGGCGCGCAGGCGGUUAUGCAAGUCUGGUGUGAAAUCCGCAGGCUCAACCUGCGAGAUGCGCUGGAAACUGUAUGACUUGAGUUAUGGAGGGGGAGCUGGAAUUCCAGGUGUAGGGGUGAAAUCUGUAGAUAUCUGGAAGAACACCGGUGGCGAAGGCGAGCUCCUGGCCAAUGACUGACGCUGAGGCGCGAAAGCGUGGGGAGCAAACAGGAUUAGAUACCCUAGUAGUCC
rnacentral:rRNA from 1 species